UACGUAGGGGGCAAGCGUUGUCCGGAUUUAUUGGGCGUAAAGAGCGUGUAGGCGGUUUGGUAGGUCCGUUGUGAAAACUCGAGGCUCAACCUCGAGACGCCGAUGGAAACCAUCAGACUAGAGUCCGGAAGAGGAGAGUGGAAUUCCUGGUGUAGCGGUGAAAUGCGCAGAUAUCAGGAAGAACACCCGUGGCUAAGGCGGCUCUGUAGUACGGUACUGACGCUGAGACGCGAAAGCGUGGGGAGCGAACAGG
rnacentral:rRNA from 1 species